GGAUGUGAGGGGGAUCUGGCUGUGACAUCUGUCACCCCAGUGAUCUCCAGGGUUGAUUCGGCUGAUCUGGCUGGCUAGGCGGGUGUCCCCUUCCUCCCUCACCAUUCCAUGUGCGUCCCAAAGCUGCGCACUCAAAGAGGACGACCACCCCCCGUUGGAGGAGGACCAUUCUUCAGUCAAGGGUAUAUGAGUAGCUGCACUCCCCUGCUAGAACUUCCAAACAAGUACUCAAGGUCCAAACUCUGGAUUUAAUGGACUAAAGUCUUCCAGCAUGAUUUGAAAAGCUCUAUAUUUCAUUAGGUAUUCCAGAUGUUUG
rnacentral:snRNA from 2 species